rnacentral:rRNA from 1 species
GACCCCGUACGUUCGCAAUAAGGGGGCCCUUCGGGGCGCAGAGAAAAGGCUCUGGGAACUGUUUAUCAAAAACACAGCACUGUGCAAACACGCAAGUGGAAGUAUACAGUGUGACACUUGCCCAAUGCCGGAAUGUCACGGAAGCGGGUUAGCUUCGGCGAAGCUCGUGACCUAAGCACCGGUCAAUGGCGGCCGUAACUAUGACGGUCCUAAGGUAGCGAAAUUCCUUGUCGGGUAAGUUCCGACGCGCAUGAAUAGUGUAAUCACUGGAGCACUGUCUCCACGACCGACUCGGUGAAAUAGUAGUGGCGGUGAAGAUGCCGCCUCCCCGCAGCAAGACGGAAAGACCCCGUGGACCUUUACUGCAGGCUGUUAUUGGUCACGUGCGUAGGAUGCGUAGCAUAGGUGGGAGGCUUUGAAGCCCGCGUUUCGGCGUGGGUGGAGCCACAGGUGAAAUACCACCCUUCGUUCGCGUGUGGCCUAACCUCGAUUCCCGUGAAACCGGGCGAGGGACCAUGACUGUCGGGCAGUUUGACUGGGGCGGUCUCCUCCUAAAAGGUAACGGAGGAGCGCAAAGGUCGGCUCAGCGCGGAUGGAAACCGCGUGGCAGAGUGUAAGAGCACAAGCCGGCUUUACUGCGAGACCGACAGGUCGAGCAGUCUCGAAAGAGGGCUCUAGUGAUCCUGCGAUCCCGUGUGGAAGGGUCGUAGCUCAUCGGAUAAAAGGUACCCCGGGGAUAACAGGCUUAUCGCUCCCGAGCGUCCAUAGCGGCGGAGCGGUUUGGCACCUCGAUGUCGGCUCAUCGCAUCCUGGGGCUGUAGGCGGUCCCAAGGGUUGGGCUGUUCGCCCAUUAAAGCGGUACGCGAGCUGGGUUCAGACCGGCGUGAGCCAGGUCGGUCCCUAUCUGUUGUGGGCGUUCCAAGCUUGAGAGGAGUCAACCUUAGUACGAGAGGACUGGGUUGGACUGACCCCUGGUGAUCCUGUUGCACCGCUAGGUGCACCGCAGGGUAGCUACGUCGGGCAGGGAUAAACGCUGAAAGCAUCUAAGCGUGAAGCCCCCCUCAAGAUCAGGCUUGGUCGCGAAAGCGAGAGACCCCGGGAAGACCACCCGGUUGAUAGGCCGCACGUGUACGGGCUGAGAGGCCCUCAGCGGAGCGGUACUAACGGUCGAAAGCUUCAUCGC